UUGUGAAACAGAGAUGUCAGAAGCUCUCCAAAGCUGCCUCCAGUGAAGGCCUGAUUCCUGAGCCUUGUAUAAAAGGAGAUUUGAUCCAGGAUAACAAGAAUAGGAGACACUGAGGCUUGGAGCUGAUUACAUGUCCAUCCUUUGUGGAAGAAUAUAGAAUACAGCAAACUGAGCUGCAAAGGCCCAUCUCAAUUGACAAGGAUCUUGGAGGUGGUGAGGCAGCCCAAGUGGAAAGGCAGCAGAAGGGGUAUCCUUGUUUUACCAAUUACUCAUAUGUAGGAGAUGGUGCAUUAAAUGAAAUAUUCUCUGCUCUCUCCUAACAUCUACCCCCUCACACCAAGAGGAAGGCAUGUCGCCUGAACCUUUGCAGUAUUCAAUUAAAGUUCUAUUCACACGGUAUUGCAGUUGUUUGCUUAUCUUUCUUUCUUAUUAGACUUAAAACUUCUGGAAACUAGAGGCUAUAUUACUUAUUUGCCUCAGAGUCCUGUUGGCCUAUCAAAUGGCACACCUUCAAUCCAAGAAUGAAUUAAUUAAAUAAAUGUGAAGAAAAAAAAAAUCCAAGUUGCUUAUUUUUGUUAAAUUUAUUUUUCCCCAAAAUAUUUACUGAGAAAAUGACUCUGGGAAGAUAGCAGAGUGGAAAGCCCCAGAAAUGUGU
rnacentral:lncRNA from 1 species